rnacentral:ribozyme from 1 species
UGGGAAUAUAAAGGUAAUGAAGAUGGGCUAAUUCAUGGGCCGUACACUACUGAGCAAAUGAUGUCAUGGCGGUCGGCUGGCUUUUUCGUUGGCACACAAGCGGUUGAUAU